rnacentral:rRNA from 1 species
UACGUAGGGGGCGAGCGUUGUCCGGAUUUAUUGGGCGUAAAGAGCGUGUAGGCUGUUCGGUAAGUCUGCCGUGAAAACCUGAGGCUCAACCUCGGGCGUGCGGUGGAUACUGCCGGGCUAGAGGACGGUAGAGGCGAGUGGAAUUCCCGGUGUAGCGGUGAAAUGCGCAGAUAUCAGGAGGAACACCAAUGGCGAAGGCAGCUCGCUGGGACGGUACUGACGCUGAGACGCGAAAGCGUGGGGAGCAAACAGG